UACGUAGGGCGCGAGCGUUGUCCGGAAUUAUUGGGCGUAAAGAGCUCGUAGGCGGUUUGUCGCGUCGGUUGUGAAAACCCAAGGCUCAACCUUGGGCCUGCAAUCGAUACGGGCAGACUAGAGUACUGCAGGGGAGACUGGAAUUCCUGGUGUAGCGGUGAAAUGCGCAGAUAUCAGGAGGAACACCAAUUGCGAAGGCAGCUCGCUGGGACGUUACUGACGCUGAGACGCGAAAGCGUGGGGAGCAAACAGG
rnacentral:rRNA from 1 species